GCCUCCCGCCCCCCCCCCCCCCCCCCCCCGGCUCCUCACCCCGGGGACAGCUGGCAGCCCCCGCGCGGGACCAGACACAAAGCCGAUCAAUCCCGGCGGCGCGGGGGCGGGGGGACGCCCGCCGGGGCUUCCCUUCCGCUCCUCGCCUCCUCCUGCCCCCUCAUUAGGACCCAGCCCACACCUCGCCCGGCAUCCACGGCCCUCCCGCUCCCACCCUCCACCCCACAAAAGGAACAGCCCAGACCCCCCCCCCCCCAGGUCCCCGGCCAAGCCAGACGUGCCCCUAGGCGGCCGGCUGAGAAGGCGCCCCCGGCAGGGGGAAACUGACAUCCAUUGGGGUCCGCCCACCGCUCCCCUGGUCUCCCCGGAGCCGGCCUCUCCUCUCCUGCCCCAGAAGUUCAGCCCCCGCCCGGCCCCCCCGCCCCCCAGCCCGGGCCCUCCCGCGCUCCGGCCGCCGGGACCCUCGGCUUCCGAGGCGCAGCCAGCUCGGACCCCGAGAAGAUGGCGAGGAGGAGCCGCCACCGCCUCCUCCUGCUGCUGCUGCGCUACCUGGUGGUCGCCCUGGGCUAUCAUAAGGCCUAUGGAUCGUCUGCCCCAAAAGGCCAUCAAGUAGUCACAGCAAUAGAGUAUCAAGAGGUUAUAUUAGCCUGCAAAUAUGCAAAGAAGACCAUGUCCUCCAGGUUAGAGUGGAAGAAACUGGGCCGGAGUGUCUCCUUUGUCUACUACCAACAGUCUCUUCAAGGUGAUUUUAAAUAUCGAGCCGAGAUGAUAGAUUUCAGUAUACGGAUCAAAAAUGUUACAAGAAAUGAUGCUGGGAAAUAUCGUUGUGAAGUUAGUGCCCCAUCUAAGAAAGGCCAAAACCUGGAAGAAGAUACGGUUACUCUGGAAGUACUGGUGGCUCCAGCAGUUCCGUUGUGUAACGUCCCCAGCUCUGCUCUGAGUGGAACUGUGGUAGAGCUGCGAUGUCACGACAAAGAAGGGAAUCCAGCUCCUGAGUACACGUGGUUUAAAGAUGGCGUCAAUUUGUUAGAGAAUCCAAGACGUGGCCCCCAAAGCAGCAACAGCUCAUAUACAAUGAAUACAAAAUCUGGGACUCUGCAAUUUAACACUGUUUCAAAACUAGACAGUGGAGAAUAUUUCUGUGAAGCCCAUAAUUCCGUGGGACGUCGCAGGUGUCACGCGAAGCGAAUGCAAGUAGACGAUCUCAACAUACGUGGCAUCAUAGCAGCUGUAGUAGGUGUGGCCUUUGUGAUUUCUGUUUGUGGCCUUGGUGUGUGUUAUGCUCAGAGGAAAGGCUACUUUUCAAAAGAGACCUCGUUCCAGGAAUGGCAAUACGGCAGUGAACAAAACAGACCAAAUAACUCUCUGCCUCACGGAGCUUACAUUGAAAGAGAUGGACAAUACACACAAAUGUAAACUCUGCAGUUUGUCAGAUUGUCAUAGUAUUAUGGCGAAAACUAAAGCGGGAGAAGUAAUUCUGCAUCUAAAGCCACCACAAUGAGUGAAAAUGAUUUCAAGCAUACAAAAUCUUUUAUAAUUUAAAAUAAUGCCACCUUUGAGAUACACCAAAACCACAGUUGUUACACAAGCUAUUAAAAGAUUUAAAUCUCUGCUUUGUCUUACAUUUGCAAGGAGGUACAUGAGGAGAUUAAAUUGGUAUUUCAUUCUAAUUUUUAUGAUCGCUAAAUUACUUGAAAUUGUUAUUUUAAACAAAUAGUUCUGUCAGCACCUAAAUAAAAUACGGUCUGGCUUCUUGUGUCUGGA